rnacentral:lncRNA from 1 species
CGGCCUAUUCCAGGGCUUCUAGAGAAAAAUAAUGAGGAGUGUCACGGGGUAUGACUAUAAAGGUCUUGUAGAGGAGAAACAUGCGCUUCUUUUCGCUAGGUAUCGAAGGGCACUAUGUUCAUAAAUCUGAAACUAGACCUCAAAAUUUGAACAAAAUGUCAAAAAAUUAGGGGGGUCACCCAGCAGCGGCAUAACAAAAAAAAAACUCAUCAUAAAUACCAGACGCGCGUUUCGUCUACAAAAGACUCAUUAGUGACGCUCGAAUCAAAAUAAUGGUUGAAAGGCCAAAAUAAAGGACGAAGUUGAAGAUCAUUGAGAACCAAACAUUCCUAGCAGUUUUGCCAAAUACAGGUAAGACAGUUUAUUCCUGGUGUAGAAAAACCUUAGUUUUUUUCAAAAAUUCAAAGCGGUGUUAAUUUAUAAGAUUAUAUUAAUGAUAAGCCAAGUCAACACACAAGUGCCAACUACUGGGAUGGUGAUACCCUCGGGGAAAUAAAUCUUUACCAGCAGUGGCAUCGACUCAGAGGUUGCAUUUUAAGUUUUAACUCAUCAAAGAUACCAGUAUUUUAAUUUUAUAUUUACGCCAGACGCGCGUUUCGUCUACAAUAUAUCAGUGAAUGUCCUGUGAAGGGAAAACAGGCGCAUCGUUUGCGUAAGACUUCAAAAGGUGCUAUGUUCAAUUUUGUCGAAAGGAACUAAAAAAAAAAAAAACUCAACUGUCAGACAAGAACGCGAAAACCAAAAAAAAAAAAAAAAACCAACAUAUCAGAGUCAGUAAAAACUAAUUUUCAAAAUCUUGUUAUAUAAAGUCAUAAUUUCCCCAUCC